rnacentral:rRNA from 1 species
UACGGGGGGGCAAGCGUUUGUUCGGAAUUACUGGGCGUAAAGGGCUCGUAGGCGGCCAACUAAGUCAUACGUGAAAUCCCCCGGCUUAACCGGGGAACUGCGUCUGAUACUGGAUGGCUUGAGUUCGGGAGAGGGAUGCGGAAUUCCAGGUGUAGCGGUGAAAAUGCGUAGAUAUCAGGAAGAACACCCGUGGCGAAAGCGGCUCUCUGGAACGGUACUGACGCUGAGACGCGAAAAGCGUGGGGGAGCGAACAGG